GUGCCAGCGGCCGCGGUAAUACCGGCAGCACGAGUGGUGGCCGCUAUUAUUGGGCCUAAAGCGUCCGUAGCCGGCCGGGCAAGUCCGUCGGGAAAUCCACCCGCUUAACGGGUGGGCGUCCGGCGGAAGCUGCUCGGCUUGGGACCGGAGGACCCGAGGGGUACGUCCGGGGUAGGAGUGAAAUCCCGUAAUCCCGGACGGACCGCCGGUGGCGAAAGCGCCUCGGGAGGACAGAUCCGACGGUGAGGGACGAAAGCUAGGGUCUCGAACCGGAUUAGAUACCCCUGUAGUCC
rnacentral:rRNA from 1 species